GCCGGGAUGGCGGAACUGGGAGACGCAUCGGACUUAAAAUCCGAUGGGCUUCAAAGCCCGUGCGGGUUCGAUUCCCGCUCCCGGCACCA
rnacentral:tRNA from 1 species